GUCCACACCGUAAACGAUGAGUGCUAAGUGUUAGAGGGUUUCCGCCCUUUAGUGCUGCAGCUAACGCAUUAAGCACUCCGCCUGGGGAGUACGGCCGCAAGGCUGAAACUCAAAGGAAUUGACGGGGGCCCCGCACAAGCGGUGGAGCAUGUGGUUUAAUUCGAAGCAACGCGAAGAACCUUACCAGGUCUUGACAUCCUCUGACAACCCUAGAGAUAGGGCGUUCCCCUUCGGGGGACAGAGUGACAGGUGGUGCAUGGUUGUCGU
rnacentral:rRNA from 1 species